UGUUGUUUCAUCCUCUUGGUUAUGAUUGGCUGCUGGCCUCAGCUUGUACACUUGUACUUGUACAGUUUUUGGACCCCUCAUUGUUCUGUGGGGACUGUAGGCGGUCUGGGAGAAGGACCUCGACGGUGAAGCUGAUUCUUUUGGCCUGGAAGAUGCUGUCAGUGAUCCGUCCUCGGGUACUAAGUGGGAGUUGUAACGCUGGCUGUGGACGACUUCCUGCAUCUGACCUGCCUUCUUCCACUCGCCCAUUUUAGCCUUCAGAAACACCCCAAAGCCAAUGUCUGCACUCUCAGUGGCAAACUGCCACCUACCGAGAUGGGAAAGAAAAAAGAUUUUCAAUUUAAUUUAAAGUUGCUUUUCUGACUUUUUCUGUGGAUUUCAGUUUAUUGUUUUUGAAAGAAUAACAGUUGAAGCACUUAAAAAAACAGUAAUUUCAUAAAUUCAUUGGGCUAGGUCUGCCAUUACCACAACAAAGAAUGUGACAUUACUCUGCCUUAUGCAAAAAUAAAUGUAUGUAUGAAUAA